AUAAAUUGCUUGUUAUCAGACAUAAUCUACUCUCAGUUGACUAUUUUGUCAAUAAUUAUAUGCGAAGUCUACCGGAAGUUUAAAAGUAGUUCGGAUCACAAAAGCCUGUUUAUGGCCGUUUCUGCCUGCAGCCUUCGGAGGCCGCAUUUGUUAGUGUUUGGAGUCGUAUUUGUAAGCUGCAUACGUCAUUAUGACUGUCUUAUUAUAAAGUUGACUAUUAUUAACUGUAAACUGUUGUAAUAUGCUUAUGACUUGCGAACGUAAUGCUCAGUUAACUUAAAUAAACAAGGCUUGAUGACGUAUACAGCCUGCAUAUGCGACCUCCGCAGGCUGCAACCUUCGGAUUGAGAAACGGCCUAUGUAUGUUGUUGCUGAAACGAAACCAUCCCGUUAGCACACUUGUAAUUCCGGUCCGGAGGUAAACAUAAUAUUCACUACAGUUGUGUGCGGAAACCAGGAUCAUUUUGAAAAACAAACACCUGGUUGGGUUAUUUUGACCCAGCAAUUGGUUUAUUAAUUGCCGCACUUUCUGGAUUCUUCGCUUCUGACUGGAUCACGCUACUCGGACCAGGCGGUAUUUCAUGAGUUCAGUAGAAUCCACUGAAUUGACCCCAACAGAUCAUAUCACCAUGACAGUGGAACUUUUUUCAGCCUUUGCAGUUUGUCAGAUUUUGGAAAGCACCCCUGAGAGGAAAUCCGUAUUAAACCGUUAAAGUGCAAGCAAUUACCAACAAGCAGAGGAGGCUACUUGUGAGACUCCUUGCAUCCCAUCUGCUGGAAACCAAUGGUGAAACCUGACUGCUGAAGGGGAAACAGCACUGAAGAUGCCAACUCUGCUAGCUCCAUCCAUUUACAGGGGAGGAGGAGAAGUCUUCAGACCUACCACUGUGGAGGCCCAGAGGUCCUUUAUUGACAUGCAACCUGUGGGGACCAACAUGGUGGAAUAUCUGCAAAAUCAGAGAUGUUGCACGUUUUGUGACUUGGGGACGAGCCAAGAAGGACCUGCCAGACCUUUGCCAUUGUUGGAGGCAAUGCCUCUGAGACAAACUCUUUGGUGAAGGAUGUUGAUAAGUUUUUUUUUGUCUUUGAUGUUAACUACACAAAGCAAUAGGUGUGUUCGACUUCAUGCAGCGCUGCGCAGACCGAUCGGCAGGUGACUUGAAGCAGUGCAUUUUGGUUAGUACUUUUGUCCGAC